rnacentral:rRNA from 1 species
GGGGGGGGGGGGGGGGGGGGGGGGGGGGGGGGGGGGGGGGGGGGGGGGGGGGGGGGGGCGGGGGGGACGGGAGCGGGGGGGGGGGGAGUGACGCGUGGGUAACCUGCCUAUACGACUGGGAUAACGUCGGGAAACCGGAGCUAAUACCGGAUAAUAUCGUGACCCGCAUGGUUCAAUAGUGACAGGCGGUUUUGCUGUCCCUUAUAGAUGGAUCCGCGCCGCAUCAGCUAGUUGGUAAGGUAACGGCUUACCAAGGCAACGAUGCGUAGCCGACCUGAGAGGGUGAUCGGCCACACUGGAACUGAGACACGGUCCAGACUCCUACGGGAGGCAGCAGUAGGGAAUCUUCCGCAAUGGGCGAAAGCCUGACGGAGCAACGCCGCGUGAGUGAUGAAGGUCUUCGGAUCGUAAAACUCUGUUAUUAGGGAAGAACAAAUGUGUAAGUAACUAUGCACGUCUUGACGGUACCUAAUCAGAAAGCCACGGCUAACUACGUG